rnacentral:lncRNA from 1 species
AACAGGACCAUUUUGGACCACCCAGAUCCAGUUGAGCCACAAGAGCCACAAGGUAGCUACACCUGCAUGGAGGAACUCAGGGACUGGCAAGUCCAACAUCUGUAGGGUGGCCUGGCUGGCCGGAGACCCAGGGAAGAGCUGAUGCUGCUGUGCACGUCCAGAGGCUUCUGCUGGGUAAGUUCUCUCUUCUUUGUGGGGGGUCAGUCUUCUGUUCAACUGAUUGGGCGACACCUACCCACAUUAUAAAGGGUAAUCUGUUUACUCCAAGUCCACCAAUUUAAAUGUUAAUAUUGUCCAUAAACACCCGCACAUAAACAUCCAAGAUAAUGUUUGAUCACAUGUCUGGGCACCAUAGUCUAACCAAGUUGACGCAGAAAAUUAACCAUCACACAAGAUGAAAAGAGUUCUGGAGAUGGAUGGUGGCGACGGUCACAUGAUGUGAAUGUACUUUAUGCCACUAAACUGCAAACUUAAAAAUGGUAAAGCGGUUACAUUUUAAGUUAUGUGUAUUUUGCCACAAUAUACAAUUGUAUCUAGCCCAAAGUAGGUGUUUGAUAUAUUUUAGUUGAUUAUUAUUUGAAACAGAGUCUCACUCUGUCGCCCAGGCUGGAAUGCAGUGGCAAAAUCUUGGCUCACUGCAACCUUUGCCUCCCAGGUUCAAGCGAUUCUCAUAUCUCAGCCACUC